GAGGCUGACAGAGGCUGGGCUGUGGGACGAGUGGCUUGGGCGGGAACUUGCCAACGCCACGGAAUGCCUGAAGUCACCCUCAGCUGACCGAGGCAGUGGUGUGAAGCCCCUCGGCCUGGUCAACAUGCUGGGGGUAAUGGUAUUGCUGGCUGCUGGUUACCUCGUCUCAGUGUUGGCAUUCGCUGAAGAGAAGCUGCAUCUUGGCUUCUCGUCAUUUUAAGGAAGAGACAGCCAGUGAUCGACCCGUCACCCAAACACUCGGCCACUUACUCCGCCUCGCCGCAUCCUCAGCCUCGUUCCUUCACGGCAAUGCAUCAAAAGGAAACGCAAAACAACACAAAGAGAUUAGAUGAAAUUGCAGCAUAGUUAGUCUUCACCUCCUCAUCAAUCUCGCCUCUUCACACCAACAAAUUAAAAGGAAACACAAAGGAAUUAUAUUAAAGUUGUGUAGCAUAGUAGUUAGUCUUCACCUCCUCCUGUCUCGUCCCUCCACAUCAAUGAAAGGGAUACACAAAGGAACACAAACAAAUUAUAUUAAAGCUGCAGCAAAGUUAGUCUUCAUGAGGUUAUUUAAGGUGAGCUACAGCGUCUAAUUCAAAAUCCAUGUAGGUUACUAAAGAAAAAAGGUUCCUCCCACCCAUCAAUUAGACCUUAUGUUAGGGUUUUGAUCUCCAAGUCUUAAUUCAACAUAUAUUUUAAAUUCAUGUUGUUUUGGAACGAUAUGAGUAUUCGAUUCGUGUUUUCUGUUGUGAUAUUAAUCUGCGUUUUGUAAUACGAUACCAGUCAAGACCAAAUGGAAUUGUAAUAUCCAGUCUGUUAUUAUAUGUCUAUUUUUUUCUUUUUAUUUCUUUUAUCUCACGCAAUAAAAGUACAUCUAUCAAGUUUUGUUCAGAAACUGUAAUGUUAUAAGCAUAUGUAUUAAUUAAAGUCAUUACAAGA